GACGAACGCUGGCGGCGUGCUUAACACAUGCAAGUCGAACGGAAAGGCCCUGCUUUUGUGGGGUGCUCGAGUGGCGAACGGGUGAGUAACACGUGAGUAACCUGCCCUUGACUUUGGGAUAACUUCAGGAAACUGGGGCUAAUACCGGAUAGGAGCUCCUGCUGCAUGGUGGGGGUUGGAAAGUUUCGGCUGUUGGGGAUGGACUCGCGGCUUAUCAGCUUGUUGGUGGGGUAGUGGCUUACCAAGGCUUUGACGGGUAGCCGGCCUGAGAGGGUGACCGGCGACAUGGGGACUGAGAUACGGCGCAGACUGCAACGGGAGGCAGCAGUGGGGAAUAUUGCACAAUGGGCGGAAGCCUGAUGCAGCAACGCCGCGUGCGGGAUGACGGCCUUCGGGUUGUAAACCGCUUUCGCCUGUGACGAAGCGUGAGUGACGGUAAUGGGUAAAGAAGCACCGGCUAACUACGUG
rnacentral:rRNA from 1 species